GUCAUCAUUAUCUGGACGUAUUCUAACAGGGCUAAAAACGAGUUCUUUCAAUGAUGAAUCAACAGGAGAGUGUGCUUAGUGCGCUGUACGAUUCUGGUGAUGAUACUGUGCCUCGCAAGAAGAAAAAAACACAAAAUAUACUAAAAAUCCAGCAGCACCAAAAUCAAACAAGAAUGAAAAAGCAGAUUUAGAGUUGAUGUUGAUGUUGCUGUUCCCACAACGUACUCCAGCCAUAGGGAAAAAAGUAUCCCUGUUCUUCGAAUUAUUAAAAAAAUAAAUGUGUGACAAGACUAAUUCAACAGAGGUCACUUCCACAGAGGUCACUUCCACAGUUGCUGAUCCGCAGUUGCUAAUCAGUGUUCAGAGAACAAUAUUAAAGUGGUGACAUUCAGGAGCAGGAAAAUCAAAGCACAAAUUGAACCAGAGAGCAUCUCAGAGGAAAUUCAAAAGUUUGGAAUUACAGGCUACAGGAAAGAAAAGCAAAGAACAUUUGAGCAAGAAAGAGCAAUCAUGCUGGGCUCCAAGAAGACUUUGGAUCCUGUUAAAAAGAAGCAAAGGAGAAGACAAGAAGUAAAAAAGCCUAAAAAUGGCUCCUCAUCUCGGGACUUUGUACCAGCAGGUCAGGUUGGUAGGUUUAAGAAUGGUGCACUGAUACUGAGCAGCCUGGACAUUAAGAAGAUUAAGCAAUCCAAAGUCAUUAAAUAACACUUGCUUUUGUACUUUGGGCAAUAAGGAAAUAAAAGAAGAAACUAGUGGAUCACCAUGGUAUAAUCACUUCAGCUGCACAGGAUCUCUCAGCCUGGGAUACUUGAAGUUUUAUUAUCAGAAGAAAGCUAUACCUUUUUUACCAAAUGAGAAACCAUGCAGUAGUGUCUGUCCAACAAUGGGACUGGCUGCCUUCUAUGGUAGCACAUAUAACUGAGUAUUGUUUUGUAUAACGUCAAACUUAUAUAAUAAAGUGGAAACCCUAUUUUACAAAACUAAAUAAAGAAUCGUAUAAAUUUGUUUCAAAUGUAUAUUUUGUAAUACUUUUUUUGUAAUGUUUUUUCACAAUCAACCUUGUGAUGAAAUUCGUUAAAAUAAAC